rnacentral:rRNA from 1 species
GACGAACGCUGGCGGCGUGCUUAACACAUGCAAGUCGAACGGAAAGGCCUGCUUUCCCUUGUGGAUUGCGGGUACUCGAGUGGCGAACGGGUGAGUAACACGUGAGUGAUCUGCCCCCAACUUGGGUAUAAGCCUGGGAAACUGGGUCUAAUUCCCGAUAGGACUGCAGGGUGGUGCCUGUGGUGGAAAACGAUUUUCUAGUGGUUGGGGAUGAGCUCGCGGCCUAUCAGCUUGUUGGUGGGGUAAUGGCCUACCAAGGCGGCGACGGGUAGCCGGCCUGAGAGGGUGGACGGGCACAUUGGGACUGAGAUACGGCCCAGACGCCUACGGGAGGCAGCAGUGGGGAAUAUUGCGCGAUGGGCGGAAGCCUGAUGCAGCGACGCCGCGUGGGGGAUGACGGCCUUCGGGUUGUAAACUCCUUUCGACCGAGAGGAAGCCACCUGGUUGGAAGGGUGGUGACGGUAGUGGUAGAAGAAGCACCGGCUAACUACGUG